UACGUAGGGGGCUAGCGUUGUCCGGAAUCAUUGGGCGUAAAGCGCGCGUAGGCGGCCCGGUAAGUCCGUUGUGAAAGUCAAAGGCUCAACCUUUGAAAGCCGAUGGAUACUGCCGGGCUGGAGUCCGGAAGAGGCGAGUGGAAUUCCUGGUGUAGCGGUGGAAUGCGCAGAUAUCAGGAGGAACACCGGUGGCGAAGGCGGCAUCCUGGACCAAUACUGACGCUGAGGAGCGAAAGCCAGGGGAGCAAACGGG
rnacentral:rRNA from 1 species